rnacentral:rRNA from 1 species
AGAGUUUGAUUAUGGCUCAGAACGAACGCUGGCGGCGCGCUUAAGCAUGCAAGUCGAACGGCAAGAGGUAGCAAUACCUCCUAGAGUGGCGGACUGGUGAGUAACACGUGGGUGACAUACCCUUCAGAUGGGGAUAGCUAUUAGAAAUAGUAGAUAAUACCGAAUACGAGCACAGGGGUUAGAGAUCUGUGAGGAAAGGAGCUAAGGCUCCGCUGAAGGAAUGGCCUGCGGCCCAUUAGCUAGUUGGUGAGGUAAGAGCCCACCAAGGCGAUGAUGGGUAUCCGGCCUUAGAGGGUGAACGGACACAUUGGGACUGAGAUACGGCCCAGACUCCUACGGGAGGCAGCAGCUAAGAAUAUUCCGCAAUGGACGAAAGUCUGACGGAGCGACGCCGCGUGGAUGAAGAAGGCCGGAAGGUUGUAAAAUCCUUUUGAAACUGAAGAAUAAGCGUUGUAGGGAAUGACAGCGUGGUGACAGUAGGUUUUGAAUAAGCAACGGCUAAUUACGUGCCAGCCGCCGC